UGUGGCUAGUGGCUACUGUAUUGGACAAUACAGUUCUAGUGGAAUAAUGAGCUCAAAUUUUGCCAAAUUUACGUAGACAUAUCAAAGUCAGCAUUCACAAUUAAAAAAAUGAAUGAUACUAUUCUACAUGUAAUUUAUGACUAACCAGUUCAUCUUAAGUCUCACUGUGAUAGACAUUAGAAAGUGGAGUUCUUUUCUUGAUGAGUCUAUUUCUUGACCUCUGUUUCUGCCCCUAACUCCAGCUUACAUAUACAUGAAAAGGCAGAAUUCCCAUUUGACUUUAAGAGGCCAGAAGGUUUGGUAUGCCUACCUCAAAUCAGGCUUAUAUGUUUCCUCAUGCAAAAAGAUGAUAGUAAAUAUAAGACCUCACCCUCUCUUUUAUCUCUUGUUCAGAAGACAUCUGUAUUCAAAUAUAAAUUUGUGCUGACAAAUACAUCUAAAGGGCAGUAGAUGUCUAUGAGAAUUGUGACCAAAACUGAUAUAUAUAUAUUUUAAAUUGGGACGUAGCUGUUUUACAAUGUUGUGUUAGUUUCUACUGUACAGCGAAGUGGAGUUCCCUGUGCUAUAUAGCAGGUUCUCAUUAGUUAUCUAUUUUUUACAUAUUAGUGUAUAUAUGUCAAUCCCAAUCUCCCAAGUCAUCCCACCCCCCGUUUCACCCCUUGGUGUCUAUACAUUAGUUCUCUAUGCCUGUGUCUCUAUUUCUGCCUUGCAAAUGAGUUCAUCUGUACCAUUUUUCUAGAUAUGUUUUUUUAAAGGGAAACUGAGUGUGCUGGGUAAGAUGGAGGUGAAAGUGGUUGUGAAAGGUAAAAGGAAUAAGAACAAAAUUAAAAUGUAUCAAGAUCCAAAACAGGAGAAGAGAAAGCUCUCAAAGCAAAAGUGAAAGCAUGAGACAGGAAGAUAACGUGUGGGGUAGGCAGAUGGUAGAGAGGGUGGAAGCAGGACAGUGUCUGGGUCAAAGCAUCUGCAAGACACAGGAGAAAAAGAACAUCCAAAUUCAGAAGGAGACUAAUCCAGAGCUGAGCGCUCCUCUGAACGCAUGUCACUAAGAUCAAUUGGGUCCUGCUGAAAAUUUUCAGACCACGUUUACCUGACUUCUGAGUCACGGUCUAUGACUCCAAGCAGAUCGAGAACCACUGACCUAGACAAUUGCAGGCACGGAAGGAAAUCCACCUGCUGUGCGGACAAAGUUUUAAUCAACGAACACAAAUAGCCAAGCAACCGACUUUCUGAAAAAUGAGUCCACUAUUUACUUUAAAGGAGCAGUCUCUAAAUGGGAAAUCAUUGCCUAUCCUCAAAAAGCAUGGUUACACACUGAUUCUACAGAAGUAAACUCUGAUGCUAGGAGUGGAUGAGACUCUGAAAGAAAUCAAGCUUUCUGCUUCUUCCCUCCCAGAGGAUCUUUUCAAGUUAAUAUCCCUGAAAGCCUAAAACAAAGCCACUUACAGACACAAGGAAUUGAAAGAACCCUAAAAAGCAGACAUUGUUACCAUCUCCAUUUUACCGAAGAGGAAACCUUGGUUUAAGGAAGUUGAAAACCUGAUGACAGGAGUGCCAGGAUUUGAAGAUAGAACUUGAAUUCAGGUCAUCUGAUGCUGGACUGAUGGUCUUUGUGUCACUCUACAACACUGUAAUAUUCCUUCCUUUGUAUCUGUCCUAGUUUUUUUUUUUUCCAUAGAAGUUGACCCUGAGAAAAGGAUUUGAGUGGAGAUUUGGGGAGGUGCAGGGAAAACCUGAGGAGUAGGGAUGAGAAAAGCAUCCAGUAAGGAGUGAUAUUAAGUCACUAUAUGCAAAUGGACUUUAAUAGCUCAGGUAAUACUGGGAAUGGAGAUAUUUGGAGCAUUUGGAGAUUGGGCCUUUAUAGAGGUGAUUAAGCUAAAAUGAGCAUGUUAGAGUGGGCCCUAAUCCAAUCUGUCAUGUCCUUAUAAGAAGAAGAAAUCUGGACACACAAAGAGACAUCAGGGAUGUGCACACAGAGGAAAGACCAUGUGAGGACGCAAUGAAAAGGCGGCCACCUGCAAGCCAAGGAGAGAGGCCUCAGAAGAAACCACACUUGCCAACAGCUUGACCUUGGACUUUUACCCUCCUGAACUGUGAGAAAAUAAAUGUCUAUCAUUUAAGCCACCCAGUCUGUGGUAUUUUGUUAUGGCAGCAAUUGCAAAAGAAUACAUGAUGGCUCAGAAAUUUUCCUCCCAAGUAGUAAGGGAGCUGGAAUAAAUGUUCUUAAGUUUCACCCUCUGUACUCAUGGGUCUCAUAUGGUCUCCUUGUCAACUCAAAGACCCUGGCUAGGGACUCUGACCUGUGAACCACCUGCACUGUCCUCACCUACGUCCUGUUUUUGCCUCCCCACUACCAUCCCUGUUCUGCUGUUUUCCGGUAUUGCUCACAACCGUGCAUAGACAACACACCCAUUUCCAUCUGAAUAAGACACUGGAGAAUCAGCCUUCCCAGCUACUACUCAGGUAGAUGGGUAUUUUGGAAAUAGCAUUAGAAUUCAAAAAGAGUUAGAAGCGCUGGAAUGAAGUACACAAAGUGAAUUUUAAUAGCGAACACACAUAGGAUUAAAAACAUUUCAGAGAGACAACAACCAUCAGUUAUAGCUAAAGAUUUUGAAUUCCAACUGAAUUUCAAUGCAGAAUAUAGCGCAGUAACACAUUAUCCGUGUCAUUACUUUAAGUAAAGAGCACGGGGCUGAUACAGAACAAGUGAGGUACAGAUGUGAACGCACAUUUUAAUUCAUUGCACCAGUGCUGUUAGAUGAUAUUAUUAUGUAUCUAGAGGACAAGAGGAUAUGCUGGAAGAAGAAAUUAAUUUUCCAUUACGCAUCUGGGUAAAAAUUAUAUCUAGUUUGGAACAUUAUGAAAUGAUAUAUAAAGUGGAAAUAUUGAAAAGAGGCAAGAAGUGAAAAAUAGAGAUGGUUUAACAUUUGUUUAGAAGUCUUUGAGGAAAAGCCUGUGAAAUUUGGAAAAUGAAGAUCAGCAACAAUACUGAAGUUUCUGAAGUGGUAUCUGGUGGAUUCAGAUCAGUUAUCUAUUCCUAUUGGGGAUUUACAAGAGAAGAAAUGGAUAUUGAAAGCUGAAGGAGAGAUUUAACUGAGCCUCACAAACCUUGAGGGUCAGAGUAAAAUAUUAGAAAAUGCCACCAAAGGUUAAAAAAAUUUCCUCUCCAGGGACCUGUAAGAACAAGGAUGAUCAAUCACACUUUACAAUGGAUCUUGGGAACCAGGCCACACAAUUUAUCACAGUGAGAACAAAUAAUUUGGAAAUAUAGCUCUGAGAACAAAUAAUUUGGAAGUAUACAGUUCUUGGACACUUGAGUGGUAUUUAAGAAUUCAGUGACAAAUUAACUUGUCUACAACUUCUUUAUUUAAAGCCUGACCUAAUCUCUCUCAGAACUGCAGGUUCAAAUUGAUUUCUGUGGCCUGGAUAGACACUUAUUCUGGUGGAGUUAUGUAAGGUUCUUCUAUAAAGGAGGGAGAUGAGCCUCUUGGAGACUUUUCUAUCUUUGUGUUGAUUUUUUUAGAGAUGAAAUUCACAUAACGUAAAAUAAACUAUUCUUAAUGCGUUCAAUUCAGUGGCAUAUGAUAUAUUCACACUGGUACAAAACCAUCACCUUGAUAAAGUUCCAAAUUUGUGUUGAUAUUUGCAGUUAAGACAGUCUUCAGUUUAUUUCUUUUUGAGGUUUCCUAAUAAAAUAACAAUGUGGUACAGAAUCUAGAAAUCUGAGAGGUUUUGGUAAACUUUCAUUUGGAAUUAAAACAGUCACUUAAUACAUGAAUGAUACAUGUUUGUGCUUCAUAAAUGAAUGAUAAUAAAAUAAGUUAGAGUGCUAUUAACCAAUAAGAUAAAAUGCUGAUUAGAGAGUGUCCUGCUAAUUAUCUUCAGGAGAACUAUGAAGAGGUACUACACCCCAAAAGGCACAUUUCAAAUAAAAUUUGAUUAUUGUUAGCUGUAGAAAGUUCAAUCUUUAGUGGGUAAUUUUGUAUAUGAACUUCAGAAACACUAAUAUAAAAGUCUAUCCCUCUAUGUUGGCCAACUGUUACAUGAUAUAGUUGAAAAAUGUUAAGCAUAACGGCAAGAUAAACACGGGUCAUUGAGACAAGUAAAAACAUACAGUAUUUUAUAAAUAAGUACAUAGGAAUGAAUGAACAUUUAAGAGUAAUAAAACUAGAUACAACAGGCUUUGAUGAUGUAAAAAUAUAUAUGCUUAGAAAGAGCAGAAGGAAUUGUCUUCCCACUCUCACUCCAACAAGGUAGAGAGAAGGUAUGUGACAAGCUGGUGUUCUUUCUGCACACAGAGGAUUAAGACAUGAGAGAACCAGAUGUUCUCUCAGGAAAUCCAGAGAUUUCUGGCCCUUUGUAUUUUACUUUGUGAGUGGUUUUUAAAGAUAGACAAUGAUAGAUAGAUGAUAGAUAGCUAGUAGCUAGAUAGAUUCAUUGAAUAAUACAUGUAACCUUAGGAAAACACAUGUUUGAAGAGAGGAAAGAUUCCCCAGGCCAAGUAUCUCUCCCUAGAAGUCCUCCCUGGGGCCUGAAAACACUCUCAGAAGACAAUAUAAUUUUGGGUUAAACUGUAUAUAUGUGCUCUGAAAGUGGUCACAUAUCAGAUAGUUACAGCAUCUCUCCAAUUAGUUUAAGAAACUAAUUUAGUAGGACCAGUAGUGACUGGAUAAAUCAGGAUGGAGGAAUUUCCUCAAGACUAAGGAUGUGAGGUUAAGGACUUCAUUGGGAGAGGGUAGUUUUGGGGACCUGACCCAGAGCAUCAUGAGGGCAUCGGAAACCCAUCCUGAAAGAAGUAAAGAGCUCAGAGGCAUUCUGAACAGGCUUGACUGUCCUUAUGAUCUGGUCUAUAACUGGUGGUACUGGGCUCUCACAGAGAAGCCUUCUUAAUACAGUCAGUAUUCAUUAUUUCUCUGCAAAACAUUUAGGGUACAAUAAACAACAUUUCCUGUAUUGGGAAGUGAUAUCUUUUUUUUUUUUUAAAUCAAGAAAAGCGAUAUCUGCAGCUUUACAUAAGCAUCCUUUUAUUUCACCAACAGUGCAUCUGCUUUUGGGUUAGUUGCACCUAUCAUACUUCGCCAGUAAUGCUGAGCCUUUGAAGGAAGAUUUUGUUGUUUGGCUCUUCUGAAGCUGGCUGAUUUCAAUUUUUCUUGACUGAUCCUGUAAACUACUUAACUGUCCCCAAAUUCCUCUUAAAGAGAAAAUUUUC